rnacentral:rRNA from 1 species
AUGGGCAUGUCAGUGACCCCGCAUGAGGGCCGCAGUAACUGUCCCGUCCUCGCCUGCCGCAAGGACCUGACGCAGACCUGCCCCGGCGAGCUGCAGGUGCGCGCGGCGGCGGGCGGCGGCGUUGCCGCGUGCAAGAGCGGCUGCCUGGCGUUCGGAACCGACGAGCUGUGCUGCCACAACACGUACAACAGCCCGGCCACCUACCGCCCCUCCAAGUACUCGGACUUCUUCAAGAGCGAGUGCCCGCAGGCCUUCACCUACGCCCACGACAACCCCUCCCUCACCCACCAGUGCUCCGCGUCGUGCGAGCUCAAGGUCAUCUUCUGCCACUAG